AUCUGUAAUAGAAUAGAGCCUAUCUGUAAUAGAAUAGGGCCUAUCUGUAAUAGAAUAGAGCCUAAUGGUAAUAGAAUAGGGCCUAUCUUUCUCGUAAUUCAUUAUUAUAGCAACACUAAUAACGAGAAGAACAACGGUAACAGUAAAGCCAUCAUAUUCAUUAUCAUAGAAUAAUGUUAAAUAGGCUGAUAAUUAUAGCCAGUAAUAACUAUAGUAAGCUAUUUCUUUUUUUCCGUAUUGUUUUUACUUGACCUUAAAUUAGAUUUUUGAUGUGAUCAUUUUGAAUGAUCAGUAGUGAUACUUGAUAACAAUCACCUUGCUGUUGAGGGAUGGACCUUGACCCCAUCACAUAGGCUACCAUGCUGUGUCCAUUGCUAGUCCGGAUCCCACGGGUUUGCGAAAAAUAAGUUAUUGCUCUCAAAGGGGUAGUCAAGAAGGUGCUGGUGGUGGCAAUAGCGGUUGUACCGGAGAGGGAGGGGGGAUCCGAGAUGGUGCUCAGAGGAAGGAGGAGGAAAGAGAUAAUUGAUCUAAGGGGGAGAGUAUAGGACAAAAAGUGAUAAUGAUGAAUACAUUGCAAAAUGUUUUGUCCCUGACAAGGGUGUCAGAUUGAAUGGCCUGUGCGCAUGUGCGAAGGUAUCCAAACUGACAAUGCUUGUGAGAUGAAGAUAGUGUUGUUGCUGCUUCUGGGCUCACGGAGGACGAGAGGAAUCUACAAGCCGACAAGAUGCGAUCCAAGGCUAGGGCAAGAAAACUGGCCAAAACAGAUGCUGAAUGACCACGAGGUGGCGUCCUCUCCGGAGAGCUGCUUCAAAAAGGUAAGACCUGUAGAGAUGUAUUGCUGCUUUUUGUUUGGUCACAGGUGCGGACAGUGUCAACAUACGCUGUCACACCUGAUGUCACCCUACUGUAUAUCGUCAUUGUACACAGCCACACACUGACACUUUGAUGCCACAUACCUCCAUCGUUUCAGAUGUGAACUCUGUGUCAAACCACAUAUUAUAGUUACAGAUAUAUUCCCAUUCCCAUUCAUUGGGAAUACAGGCUGCCCAGCUUCCUAUAACAUGAGUGGAUUGUUGGAUUGUUGGAUUGUUGUGCUGUGACUCUGAAUGAUGCUGUGCGGAGUGUGAGUGUGUAUGUGUGUUUGUGUGAGAGCGAGGGAGAGGGAGAGAGAUUCUCCAUCAUUGGUCUUUGUGUUGUCGAUACGUCCUGUUGACCACGACACCAGCGGCCACAUCUUUAUGAGGUGAUACAUUUAUUGAGAGGCGGGCCGUUGGCUUUUACGGACAGUGUUGCCGGGUCACGGCGGAAAAGGGAGAGAGUUCAAGUAUAAAGUUAAUGGUGAAAGAACGAUGGCUGGAGAGAGAAAGAAAGAAGAGAGGGAGGGACACGUUAGAAAAAUCCAUGGAAACCUAUAGCCAUGGUCCGGUCCACCCACUCCUGUCAUGCAUCCCAAAUGGCAGCCUAAUCCCUAUUUAUCAGGGUAUAAAGUUAAUGGUGUACGAACAAUGGAAACCUAUAGCCAUGGUCCGGCCCACCCACUCCAGUCAUGCAUCCCAAAUGGCAGCCUAAUCCCUAUUUAUCAGGGUAUAAAGUUAAUGGUGUAAGAACAAUGGAAACCUAUAGCCAUGGUCCGGUCCACCCACUCCAGUCAUGCAUCCCAAAUGGCAGCCUAAUCCCUAUUUAUCAGGGCCCAUAUGGCCCUGGUCAAAAGUAGAGCACUAUAUAGAUGGGUUGGUUCUUUAGCAACAAAACUGAUGCUUGCAAAACUGACAGGGUUGGCUAAGAAUGUUAACAACAUGUAAACGAUAUUUGGUCUCCAAUUUUAAUUAAAAACAUAAAUACAGUUGCACAAUGAACACUUGUUGUCUCUCAAAUACAUAGUUACAGUUGUUGGUUAGCUAGCUAGCUAUAUUUUUUUUACAUAUUAGCAUUGACAUGAAAUCAGUCAAAACACCUCAAAACAAGACAUGGUAUCAAUAAAAAUAUUAAACUAGCUGAAAUCAGCAACGAUUCCCCACAGGGCAGUGUCUUGUCAUUGUUGCAAGCCACCUGGCUAUCCAGAAUCACAAUAACUUACGAUUCCCCACAGGGCAGUUUCUUGUCAUUGUUGUAAGCCACCUGGCCAUCCAGAAUCACAAUAAUUUACGGACUUCGGCCCUAUUACGGUAGCACACUGUUUUCCUGACGCUGUCAGCUAGCCCAUCUAUAGGGAUAGUGUGCCCUUUGGGACUCAUUCAAAUCUCUCUAUACCUCAACCAGUACAUAGGAUGAAUACAAUUUUAGGGGCUUCUCUGGGUUGGAGAGUGUCACCUGUCAGUGAUAUUUGAACUCGGCUUCACUACAGACCCUGGUUCAGCGGUCUAAGACACUGCAUCUCAGUGCUAGAGGGCUCACUACAGACCCUGGUACAGCGGUCUAAGACACUGCAUCUCAGUGCUGGAGGUGUCACUACAGACCCUGGUUCAGCGGUCUAAGAUACUGCAACUCAGUGCUAGAGGCGUCACUACAGAC
rnacentral:lncRNA from 13 species